GUUUGGGAUAAGGGUAUUAUUGGAAUUCUCUGGAUAGUUGUUACUCGUUUAUAAUGUUUAUGAUUUUUGUAAAAAUUAAGUGAUGCUGAAAAGAGGGAUGACGAGGGAGUAGCAAGUGAAAGUACCAUUGUACCCAUCACAUGGAGAAAUAUUUUCUCUUUUAUUUUUGAGAGGAGAUAUUACAGAAUACAUACAUGCUUGCGCGCACUGUAUUCGUCUCUCUCUCUCUCAUCUACCUCCUCCACCACCACCACCACCGCCUCAGCAUCCUGCAUGCAAAUUGGCCUUCUCUUCUGCUCUAUCUCCGUGAUCGCCGCAGCUACCGACCGCCGCGGACUGACGCCGUUUCAGGGGGCCUGUUGCCCCCGGACAUCUGUUGUUUUCGCUAGGGUUCUUCCGAUUUUUCCAUUGCUCAACCAUAGGUGGAAAUAAGUUGGAAUUGGAGGGGCAUGGCUCCGGGGCGCAGGCGCGGAGCGAAGGGGGUUAAGACGAAGACCGAGUUGAGCUUGGGCGAGCUCGUUCUCGCCAAAGUUAAGGGUUUCCCCGCUUGGCCUGCCAAGAUAAGCAGACCUGAAGAUUGGCAGCGUGUGCCUGAUCCUAGAAAAUGCUUCGUCCAGUUCUUUGGUACAGCAGAAAUAGCUUUUGUUGCACCUGGGGAUAUUCAGACAUUCACGAAUGAAGCGAAAAAUAAAUUGUCAGCUCGAUGCCUGGGUAAGACAGUUAAAUACUUUGCCCAAGCGGUGAAAGAAAUAUGUGAGGAAUUUGAAGAGUUGCAGCAAAAAAGAUCAAGUGGUGUGAGAGAUGAUAACUGUACACAAACUCAUCCACCCGAGGCACAUUCUGUUGAUCCAAUGGUAGACGAGGCCUUGGAUAUUAAUCAAAACAACGGGAUUGUGCCAGAAUGCAAGUUGGAGAUGAAAGAGUCUGAUGAUCUGGGCUCUGGCUUAGAGCAUUGUCCGCACAAACAAGAUGAGGUGGAAUGUCAAGACGUGAAGCCUUAUUUGUCAGAUGACGUGAAUCGUAGGUUGUCCCCUCCUGUAUCUUUGCGAAAGAGGAAUAAGUUCUCUUCAGACCACAACAAUGUUGUCAAGGAUUCACUAUCAGUGUCUAGCCCUUCACACCAUUCCCUUAAGAAGGAAGAUCCUCUUGAUAUCAAAGUGAAGGGCAGAUAUUCUGAUGGUAGCCAGAAUGAAUUGACAAAUGGACACAGAUCGAAGCUGGCAAUGGGGUCAAAGAAAAAAUCUCCGGGUGCAGGACUUGGAAGUGGUGGAUCAGCUGUUUCUUAUGAUCAUGGUGAAGUGAUGAAAAGAAAAUUUGCUUCAGGUGGCAGCAUGAAGCUUUCAUCGCCUGAUAUUCCAAAGUUACGUGUAGAUGUUAGUAGUCAAAAGGGGGAAAAAAGGUUGAUGAAAGAAAAAAGGCACUCUGAGGCAGCCCAUGAUGGUCAACAGGAUGCUAAAGUGCAUUUUGAGUCCCAAAAUGAUGCUAUGUCCCGGAAAAAGAUGAAGGUUCACCAUGGGUGUGAAAAGACAGGGUCUCGGACAAAUGGAGCAUCAUCUCCUCCUGCCAAAAUAUCAAAAACCGCUGAUACUGGAAAGGACACUAACAUGAUAAAAGCUCAAAUAAACUGCAAAAGUGAUUCUAGAAGUCCUAAUAGUCUUGAUGACAAAAUGGCUAGUAAAGAGCCUAAAAGGUUUACAACAGUUGGGAAGCCUGAGGUCUUACAGCCCAUUAGGCCACCAAUUAUUAAUAACUCGGAAUCCGACGAGGACGAUCUUCCCCCAAUAAAGCGUCAUCGCCGGGAACUGGAAACAAUGUCCGGCUCUGCCUUGAUUUCUGAAAAUAGAUUGGGAAUUUCUGUAUCACAUAAGACCGACUCGGUACUUCCUAGUAAAGUCAUAUCUCCAGUUGCGCAGUUGCCAAUGAAGCGUAGAUCUGUCCGCAUAUGUGAUGAUGAUGAUGAUGAGUUGCCUAAAACUCCAGUUCACGGAGGAACUACCAGUAAGGUGUCUGCGAUUCCACGCGUGUCAGAUUCAAAAAAGAAAUCUAUAACGCAUGGCGAUAAAUCUGUCUAUGAUCCACAGGUGUUAAGAAAUCCAGGAGAAGUUGAUAAUAAUGGGUUAAAAGAACAGGUACAGUCUAAUCGAGUGAUGAAUAAGCUGUUAUCUCCUGCUGCUCAACAAGGUAUAGAGAAGAGGAUGCGGGAAUCAUCAGCUGCACAUGUAUCUCCUAGUCCACGGCAGUUGGACUCUGAGAAGUUAGCCUCAAUGGAGGUUAAACCAGUUUCAGUUUCUCCUAAAAGGUCCCCCCAAUCUGUUGGUGGUGGGAGAGUGUCGAGAGAACUGGAAAGCAAGCAAUCCAACAAGGCACCUAGUAAUGAUUUUAGGAAAAAAACUCCAGUAGGAGACAGCAAGAAUUCAGCAUCGUCUGAUAGGUCAAACUUAUUUCCUAAUCAAACACUAAGUGAAAGAAGCAAGCAACCAUCUUCUGGAGAUAAAAAGAAAACAACUCCAAAAUUAGAUUCACGGAUCAAUGACUCUGUGGCUGUGGCUUCAAAUGAAAACAUCACAUCAGUUCGGGAAAGGCUGAGUGCUAGCAAAGACAACAAAACAAGUCACACAGUUGACUCAAAAACUUCAGACUCCGUGAUGUCAAUGAAACAUCUUAUUGCUGCCGCUCAGGCAAGAAAGAAACAGACACACUUUCAGAAUACUUAUGGAAACCCUUUUCUUUUCUCAAUUCCUGACAUUGACAUGGCUGGUCGGGUACCGAGUCCUGCACCUGCUCUGCUGGCGUAUGAAGCAAGCAACACACUCCAACUGGAUGUUCUAGGAGCUCAUCCCACUUCUCCUUGCUCUAAUCUUCAUCAAAUCCCACCUAAUAAUCAACAUGAGAAUGAUGAACUUGAGGAGAGGAGGGUAAGCUCUGGUCAUCAGGGCACUGGGAGCUCUCUCAGCGGGGGUACUGAGGCAGCUGUUGCUCGUGACGCAUUUGAAGGGAUGAUAGAGACACUGUCAAGGACCAAAGAAAGUAUUGCACGUGCAACUCGACUUGCAAUUGAUUGUGCAAAGUAUGGGCUCGCCAAUGAGGUUGUGGAGCUUCUUAUACAGAAAUUAGAAAAUGAGCCAAGUUUACAUCGCAGAGUGGAUCUCUUUUUCCUUGUUGACUCAAUAACCCAGUGCUCUCACACUCAGAGAGGGGCCUCAUACGUCUCUACUGUUCAAGCUGCAUUACCCCGCCUCAUUGGGGCUGCUGCUCCUACUGGUGCAGGUGCUCAGGAAAAUCGUCGUCAGUGUCGUAAGGUCUUGCGCUUGUGGCUCGAGAGGAAAAUCUUGCCGGAAUCCGUUCUUCGCCGCUACAUGGAUGACUUUGGAGUGGUAAAUGAUGAUACAUCAAUCCCACUAAGACGGCCUUCCCGAGCUGAACGAGCUAUUGAUGAUCCUAUUAGAGAAAUGGAAGGCAUGGUUGUUGAUGAAUAUGGAAGCAAUGCUAUGUUUCAGUUACCUGGAUUUCUGUCAGCAAGUGUGUUUGAAGAAGAGGAAGAUGAGGAUGCUACUAAUAUAAAUUUAUGCCUGAAAGAUGAUGAUGUGUCACCUUCCAAGCAUACACCUGGUAGCAGAGAUCCUGAGAAUCAUUCUGUUACUCCUAGUGAUCGGCGCCAUUGCAUAUUGGAGGAAGUUGAUGGUGAGCUUGAAAUGGAAGAUGUUUCUGGACACCAGAAGGAUGAGAGACCAGUGAUGACCAAUGGCUCUGUUGAGCUUCCUUCAUUGGAGCUCAAUCCAGAUAGUAUGCAUGAAUCAUCUUCAAACACCUCCACCGAGUGGCUUCCAUCUCCUGACGGCUCUCCUCCACUACCACCUGGAUCUCCACCUCUGACUCCACAGCUUCCAACUUCACCACCUCCAUCAUCACCACCUCCACCUCCACCUCCAUCUUCCCCCCCACCUCCACCUCCACCACCCACCAUAUACCAACAUCCUUUUCCACAAGCACCUGUUGGUCCACCUCAGACACCUGUUGGUCCUCCACCACAAGCUGGUCCAAUUCCACCUGUUGGACCUCCACCGAGACCUGCUGGUCCUUCUCCUCCUAUUGGACCUCCACUUAGACCUGCCGGUCCUUCUCCACCUGUUGUACCUCCUCCCCCACAUCUUCGUCCUCCUCCACCACCUCUUGGACCUCAUCCUCCACCUUUUGGUCCUCCUCCCCAUCUGGGUCCUCCUGCACCAGUAAUUUCCCAGCAAUCAUUUCCUUCUCAACCUCCAUUGGUUUCUCAUAACAAGACUCCACUUCCGUCACUGCCACUAUCCCCAAGAUCAUCUUAUCAACCUCAUCCUUUACCACAUGAAGUUGGUGCCACACCCACUGGAAAUCAACAGACCCAUAUGGUUUCUACUACUCAUGGGUCUCAUAUGGAUCCAUCUGCUAGAGGUGAAGUACCGCCAAAACAAUCAUCUUGUUUUCCUCCGUCUGGGGUCAGCAUUGCACGCGAACAUGUUGGCUAUAAUUCGUCGAGGCAUGUGGAAUAUGGAGAGGAUGAUGCUUAUAUAAAUCCCCAAGCUUCACAGCAUAGGCAGCAGUAUCUGCCUGGUAGUGUGCCUUUCACACAAAGGCCUGUGCUUCCUGAACUCCCAUCUCAACGACCACCUAGCCAUUUCCCUUAUCCAAAUUCAGCUCAACAACAUCAAUACCCCUCUUAUUCAUUACCAAACUUUGCCGAUGGUCCAAGGAGAUAUAUAGCUGAUGAGCACUGGCGGAAGCAAGGAAAUGACUUUAAAGUGGAUCAUCCUCGUGGUGGGUGGAUGCCAGGAGGAAGGCCGUGUUCAGGUCCAUCUUUUUCACAAGAAGGUUACCACGAAAGGCCUCCUGCAAGUACCAUAAGUUAUCAGCACUCUGCCCCAAAUACUCUACCUUCGUCUGGUCAAGUGCCAGUUCAUGGUGUUCCAAUAAUGGCGUCUAGACCAAACAUGUCCACCAACUGGAGGCCAACAUAGAAUUCCAAUUCAAGGUUUAUGACUAUUGUGUCAUUUGGAGUCUGUAGCAAAUGGAAGUACAAGUAAAUUGGUUGAAGUCUGACAGCACAGAAAGAUGCAUCAUCCUGGAAAAUCCUCGAAGGAGCAAAGGAUUGAGAACUAUUGUUGCUGGAGGAAGUAGUUCUAGCCAUCAUCAGCAGAAAAUUUGUGGUACCAUAGAAGAAGGUUUACUUAAGGUAUUUUCAAGUCAUACAUAAAUGUGCGAUGGGCACUAAUGUGCUCCAACAGAGAGGUGGCUUUUGAUCGGGUUAGAAUGGAAUUGGUGGGGCAGUUGUCAACGGGACUGUAUACUAGAAAAUUUCCUGACAACAUACAUUCAAGGGUGCACAACUAAACUGUAAGCCCUUUUUUUGCUUGCUAUACCAAAUGCUUGUAAUUAUACAAUACAUCUCAUGAAGUAAGUUAGUGGCUAGUACAGUUAAAAGAGCCUGCUAAUUCUGACUUUUUUUCUUCUUUUUUUCCUGCAAUCACAUUUCUAAUCUCUUUGACAGAGAUCUUGAGUGCAUGUAUUUUGUUUCUGAUGCACUUGUGCAUACCAAGUAGAGCAUAUCCAACAUUCAAUUUGUAAAUCAUGUCUUUGUUGCCUAUCUUACACUCUUUUGGAAACAAGUUUUAUAACAUGAGCAUUCUUUAA